GGCAAACGGGUGCGGAACACGUACAGAACCUUCCUUUAAGCGGGGGAUAGCCCAUAGAAAUGUGGAUUAAUACCCCAUAGUAUUAGCGGGUGGCAUCAUUUGCUAAUUAAAGAUUUAUCACUUAAAGAUGGCUGUGCGGCUGAUUAGGUAGUUGGUUGAGGUAACGGCUCACCAAGCCUUCGAUCAGUAACUGGUGUGAGAGCACGACCAGUCACACGGGCACUGAGACACGGGCCCGACUCCUACGGGAGGCAGCAGUAAGGAAUAUUGGUCAAUGGACGCAAGUCUGAACCAGCCAUGCCGCGUGAAGGAUGAAGGUCCUCUGGAUUGUAAACUUCUUUUAUCUGGGACGAAACACUUUAUUUCUAAAGAGCUUGACGGUACCAGAGGAAUAAGCACCGGCUAACUCCGUGCCAGCAGCCGCGG
rnacentral:rRNA from 1 species